GCCAUUAGUAUCUGGAACUGUUGUUCUUGCAGGAAAACAGUGGUUGGCGGGGCCAGAACCUACAGCACCACUUCUGCAGACACAGUUAAAUCUGCC
ensembl:miRNA predicted gene, 23192